rnacentral:rRNA from 1 species
UAAUUGAAGNGAACCUGCCCGCGCACCGGGAAUACGCUCUGGAAACGGAGAACAAAUCCCGAUGUACAGGAAGGAGGCAUCUUCUUUCUGUGAAACAUCCUUUAGGGGAUGGGGCGCGGAUGGACCUGCGGUGCAUUAGUUUGUUGGCGGGGUAAAGGCCCACCAAGACGAUGAUGCAUAGCCGGCCUGGGAGGGCGGACGGCCACAUUGGGACUGAGACACGGCCCAGACUCCUGCGGGAGGCAGCAGUAGGGAAUUUUCGUCAAUGGGCGCAAGCCUGAACGAGCGAUGCCGCGUGAGUGAAGAAGGCCUUCGGGUCGUAAAGCUCUGUUGCGGGGGAAAAAAGGCAGCAUCAGGAAAUGGGUGCUGACUGAUGGUGCCCCGCCAGAAAGUCACGGCUAACUACGUACCAGCAGCCGCGGUAAUACGUAGGUGGCGAGCGUUAUCCGGAAUGAUUGGGCGUAAAGGGUGCGCAGGCGGUCCUGCAAGUCUGGAGUGAAACGCAUGAGCUCAACUCAUGCAUGGCUUUGGAAACUGGAGGACUGGAGAGCAGGAGAGGGCGGUGGAACUCCAUGUGUAGCGGUAAAAUGCGUAGAUAUAUGGAAGAACACCAGUGGCGAAGGCGGCCGCCUGGCCUGUUGCUGACGCUGAGGCACGAAAGCGUGGGGAGCAAAUAGGAUUAGAUACCCUAGUAGUCCACGCCGUAAACGAUGAGGACCAAGUGU